CCUUUAAGGAGGGGAUUUUUUCCUGUAAUUUAAAAUAAUCUUCAUUUCGUAUUGCCAUUCAUAAAAAUCUUGAUUUUACUUUAAUUUUAGAAUCGGUUUUACCAUGGUUCGUACAGUAUAAAAACGCACAGUUCGCUCGAAAUUUUACCAGACAUAUGUAUGCCUUUGGAUAAGUUUUAAAACUUAAUACAAAAAUACAGAAAGCGGAAAAUGCGGCUCAACGUGGUAUACUGUACUUUGUGGAUGUUUUUGCUACUGCCAUUAAGCACAUCCGGCAAAGUGUGCUUGGACUGGACCAAACGUUGUUAUUCCGAGCGCAGAACAUGCCACGGAAUCAUUUCCGGGUUAAAUUUAGAUAAUAUGCAAAGUUGUUCGCAUCGAUGUUGGAAUAUGGGAUAUUUACAUGGGAACUGUAUGAAAAUAAACGAACCAAGAACAUUCAACUGCAAAACAAGAUCGAAACAUGCAUGGAUAUGUAUGUGCGAUCACAGCCGCCCUGGAUGGAAACAUAGACAUUGCCGAUAGCUAACGUUACUACGUAAUGAAAACUUGAACUACAAAACGAGGUUUGAUCCUGCAGAGAUGCUCUUACAAUGGGGAGUUAACUAUGGGACAUGAAAUUUAAACUGUUUGAAAACAUAAAGAGAAAAUACAAAUUGAACAACAGUUCUGAGGGAAAUACAAAGAGACCAAGCGAUUGAUAGCCCAUAUCCCUUGGCACGUAGACCUCUUUUAAUGUAGAUUUUCACGUCACAUAUGAACAGUAUUUCACAGUGAUUUAAUAGAUUGAACACGAGUGGUUACAAGCCGAACGGAUUCGUAAAAAUUAAAUAGAUUUAUGUUUAAUUUUUAAUUCACAACUUCCUUACUGCCAAUUUGACCGUUAGAUUCAGUUUUAUUAACUUAUCUAUAUUUCGUUCGUUCGUUCGUUCGUUCAUUCAUGCAUUCAUUCAUAUUUAUUUAUUUAUUUAUUUAUUUAUUUAUUUAUUUUUCAUUCGUGUAUAUAUCGGGCUGGACCACUAACAUGUGCUGUUACCCAUAAAUUGUACUUCUGUAUCACAUAUAAUUGUGUGCUUUUUAUUGUUUUUAUAAUAAAAUAUGGUUCUGACUAUUGGUCUCUUGAAUUUAUUUGCAUACCAAUUAGCAAGUACAAUUAAUGUUAACUCAUAAAAUGUUUUUUCGAAUAAAACUGAUAUUUAUCCAAACUGAA